rnacentral:lncRNA from 12 species
GGAUGGUCUGUGACCUGCCACUUCCUUCAAGGCACACACAAAAAUUCUAAAGUAUGACAAUACUCAAACCUAUACUCCAGGAUUUGCAGUCUGCUGUGGAGGGUCACUUGGUCCUGCCACUGAAUUGGGAUAGUGGUUGGGAACCCCACACCCCUCUCCUCUUUCACCCUGGUUGUGAUGGAGAUCUCUGAAAACCUCAGAGGUGAGUACCAGAAUUAUCUCGGGGGUAGAGAUUCCAAUCCUCUCAAAAAAUAAAGGCUCUUAACAAUCCCCAGAUGGAAAAGUCUUUGUAGUUGUCUAAGUCCCAUCACUGGCGUGCUCUUGGAAUGAACAGUGGGGCCAUUCCCAGCAUCUACUACUGAUUGAUUCUAGGAAAAGGAGCUCGUGGCCAACAGGGACCUGAGUACCGAUCUGCAAUAUUGUGGGAGUACAUGUUUAAUGACCAGCUCUCCAGGGGACUUGGGAGGUUAUUUGUAAUGUUUACUGAUUACCUUGUGUAAAUAUGCCCACCAUGACUAAUUCUAAGCUAUUGACAGGACAUCACUCAAACACAGAAUUGGGAAGAGAGUCUCACCAUUGGCCCCUGCAAGCACAUGGGCCCCAGCCACCACUGGGACCAUUCUCUUCCUCCAGAUUCCAGAGAACCUUUGCACUUCCUGUUUAUCCCUGAGAAGUUUAUACUCAGCUCCUAUGACAAGCAAGUUGCCAUGGGUAUCAUCAGACGUCACAAAGAAGAGGGCGUCCCUGGCUCCAAGCGGAGCACAGAGACUCAGUUGAGACCACCAGGCUGCCCAUGAUUUGCACCAUUGCUUUGCAGGGGUAUGUGUCCUUUCCUCCACUUUCCAUUACCAGAGGAGCCUCAUCGCCUGAAGAAAAAUGCGGAAAACAUUUAAAGAAAAAUCUUUAAAACACCGCCCCCCCCAACCACCAACUACCUUUAGUACUUGAUGCAUUUUCCAUGAGUCUUUCUUCUGGUUUUGUUUCUUGCACGCUUGGAGUACUGCUCAUGUCAUUGGGAUCCUGCUUUUCACCCAAAACCAUGUGAUUCUCAUCUGUCAUAUUAUCAACCUCCUUCAUAUUUAUCAUUGUUUCUUUUAUUGACUGUUCAUUGUAAUCAGUUACCUGGGAACAUAGUUAUAGAAUCAAUUGAGUCUAUAAGAUUUAUUAUAAGAAACAUUUGCGACUGAUCAAACUCCUGCCUCUUCCCUACCCCCAGAGUUUACUGUUUUCUAAUUUUCCUGCCACUUCUUUUGUUCUUUAC